CACGCCGUAAACGCUGAUUACUAGGUGUAGGGGGUAUCGACCCCCUCUGUGCCGACGUUAACACAUUAAGUAUUCCACCUGGGGAGUACGGCCGCAAGGCUGAAACUCAAAGGAAUUGACGGGGACCCGCACAAGCAGUGGAGUAUGUGGUUUAAUUCGACGCAACGCGAAGAACCUUACCAAGGCUUGACAUCCUCUGACCGCUGUAGAAAUACAGCUUCUCUUCGGAGCAGAGAGACAGGUGG
rnacentral:rRNA from 1 species